rnacentral:tRNA from 1 species
UCCCCCGUGGCGCAAUUGGCUAGCGCGUCUGACUGUUAUCCUUCAGCAAUGGCAUCAGGAGGUUGGUGGUUCAAGCCCACCCGGAGGAG